ACGAGGAUUUGCACUCGGAGCAAGGGGUCACUUUGGUGGAGUUGGACUGCGAACUGGCGCGGCUGCUGCUGCUGCUGCUGCUGCCGGCGUCACUGCCUAGAUCCAUCCCAUCCUCUCGGCUGCACAUUGAGGAUGACGACCUCGGAGAGGUGUGUGUAUGGGGAAUACAGGCGUCAGUGUGAGAUGGGACUGAUACCCCGCACGGAGGUGGAGAAUCUGUUCGGGUGAGCCUCCAAAGCCCCCUUUGGCCACCUCCAAUCAAGGGGACAUUACAGGAGGAGAAGAGAGGAUAUCCAGUGACCUGCUUCUGGCACAUUUGAUGGUAGGCCUGAGCCAGGGAAGAUAAGCUAAUCUUCAGACUUUUCUGGAAACAGCAAUCUUAUGAAUAACAGGAAAGGGGGCCUUGUGUUCUGGAGCUCUUCACAGGGCCAAUUAUAACUUAGAAUGUCUUUUACGCUUUCCAUCGCCUGCCAAGAACCAUCCCACUUUGGAACAGGAAGGCCUGCCAACUCCUAGGCCAGCAACAGUCGACAGAUAUGUCCAGCAGGAUGGAGAGAUGAUUUGCCAAGUGAUUGAAAGGUCCUGUCUUCCUGUUUACAGAAAGUCUCCUCAAGUUAGGGGCUUGGAGCUUACAGACUUAGAUUUGUCCCCAGCAACCUUUGUAAAUUAAACACCAGAGAUGUGAGUAAAGUGAGAGCCAUCCCAGAUCAGCACCUUCCUCCAUCGAUCACCAAGUCCUGUCCCUCUCAAAUACCCCCUGUCCCCACCCUGGUCUAGUUUCCCAACAAUCUUCACCCAUUCUCCUCUAGCAGUCAGAGUGGCCUUUCUCAAAUGCAAAUAUGAGCAAGUCUCUCUCAGGCUUCAUUAUCACACCCCCCCCCCCACCACUACCAACCAGGACUCCUCAUUCCCCUUAAAGGAACUGCCCCCCCCCUCCCCAACUUCUUUUGGAAAAUUUCUAUUCAUCUUUUAAGUCUAUCUCAGGUAAAAUGUCACUUUCUCUUGGAAGGCUUCCCUGAUUCUCUAUACCUGCCUGGAGGGGUCAGGUGACCUUCCCAAGCUUCCACGACACACUGCCCUUAUCACACACGCUAUAUGGAGGUUGCUGUUUAACUGCUUAUCUUUUCUACUACUCAAGAAAUCCAUUUUAUAUCAAGACCCAGCCCACACAUACAUAUAAAAACAUAUGUAACUGAAAAAAGUUUUAUAAACUCUUAUUUUGUCAAAUCCUAUCCUACUUCAUUUAAAACAAAAUCUAGGCACACUUUAUUACAUUGAUUUUAUAACCCUUAAAUGGGUCAGGGCUCCUAGUGUUAGAAAAUACUCUGAAUUCUAUGAAAAGUGUUGCCAUUUCUAUCUUGUUCAUGGUAACCGGAGUGGAAUAGGAGCUUCAUCAAUAGUGGUUGCUAGAAUUAUUAAUCAUAUCAACAUUCAAUUCUUUCCAUCCUCAAAAAUCCUAUGAAGAAACUCUCUUCCCCAUUUAUAGGUGAGGAUGCUGAAGACAGUGAGGUUAAGUCACUUGCUUAAUGUACAAAAGCUGAAAAGCCAGGGGUCAGAGUCAGGCUUUGAACCUGGGUAGUUUGGCUUCAUCAUCCUUGCUCUUAGUCACUCAGCUAAAAUUCAGUAUCCCUUGGCCCAGAGGCAUAUGGACAAAUUUACCCGGCAAAAAUACCAGAGGGGUCUCCUUGCAGCAACCUCAAACUCCUUCCGCCUCCUGUCCUGCAGCGGCUCCUCGGGCAGCAGUCGUGUCUAUGCAGAGAGGAAGGCAGCUGACAAGAGCAGCUGUUCUCUUCUGCUCACAUGUGCUCGACCUCCUCAGCUGUCAACAAGUUCAGUAUUCAGCAAGUUGGGAGAUUUCAUUGUGCAGAGAGUACAGACGGCUCAGAAAAUGGAACUCCCAUUGCUCUGAACUACCUGCCUUUAGUUCCCCUCAGAACAAGUCCUUGAAGAAGAUAGUCACUGUGAGAUUGGGUUGUUCAGUUUUGUCCUGGAUGGGAAACUGCAGCAAUACUCAAAGGAUAGGGAGGGGUGAGGGCACGCUCCUCAGAGGUCAGUGCUAUUUUCAGGAUUUUGAUCUGUAAAGACAACACUGGAGAAAAGACCUGAUUGAAACACUUAAAUAUUAAGGAGUAUAAAUAGGUUGGAAACAGAUGUAUUUGAAAAAUUCCCAAAUUCUAAAGUUACUAGCCCUAAUGCUAAACUUCUCUAAGUUGUGGCAUUUAGAGUAACAAAGCAAUGGCUGGCAAGGGGGCUUGUAUUUCGUCUUUAUUACAUGAACUGCAUGCAAAUCACAUGCAGUACACAGAUGCUCUCCUAUUUCAUCACCUGAAUGUAACUAUGCGAGACUUUUUAAGCACUGUGGGCAAAGAGUCCUGGGUGUAGAACAUCCGGGCUUAGUGCCCUGCCCUGUCUCUAACCAGCUUUGUGACCUCAGUUUCCUCAUGAAGGAGGCUGAACUGCAUGGUCAUGGUGCUAAGCAAAUCGUAAGAAUACAUUGAAUGAAAGACUGACUGAAUGAAUGAACUAACGGCUUCUUCCAGCUUAAAGACUCUUGGGAUUUCAUCCUAGACACUGGGAUAUCCUAUAUAAUAAAAGCCCAGCGACUGAAUGACAGAAUAAUCAGAACGACCGGUCGACCAGUUGCUAUGAUGCAUACUGACCGCAAGGGGGCAAACACUCUAUGCAGGAGCUGCCCCCUGGUGGUCAGUAUGCUCCCAUAGUGGUGGGAGCGCCACUUGGCUAACUGGGAUGAGCUGCACUCCCACAGCGGGCCAAUCUCCACAGGCCACACUCCCCACCAGUGUACAAAUCCAUGCACAGGGCCUCUAGUAUAGUAUAAAAGCAUCUCUGAGUUUCAUUGCCUUCCUUGUUAGGAGAUACAAAGUUGAUUCCUCCACUAACUAAAAACCAAGGUCCUUCUCCAUUAGGUGGGUUGAAUGCAUAGUAUUCUUUAUUUAUGUAGAUCCGAUGGGUUGAUUUCAACGUAUUAGUCUAUAUGUAGAGAUACUUUGUAAAUGAAAGAAAGAAAACAAUUAUAUUUUAGGUGUACUAGUAUAUAGGAUCCAUCUUCAGAGCUAUACUUUAAUGAAAAGAAAACUUUUAAAAACAUUAACAUCUUAAAUGUUUUGAUUUUCUAGCAAACCAUGAGAUUGCAUUUCUCUCCUAUGUUUUCCUCAAUAAAAAUGAAAUGGCAAAAUCUAGGCAAGCUCGGCCCAUAAAAGAUAGCUCCUAUGACCUAUUUUCUAAACCUGAAACCAGGACACUUGGCUUGACAAAUACAGUGCUUGCAAAACCAGGUGAAUGUCUCUUUGAAAUGAAGAUGACCCUGAAAAUUCUGUAGGCACUGGUGAGUAAGGCAACUCUAACUGCAGCAAAGAGACAGUGUCUCUAUCAGAGAAAAGCCACAUAGAGGGUGUCAGUCAGGAACUCAGCAUAUAGCCACACAGAAUGUGAACUGCACCACACAUCCCUGCCAGGAGGGACAACCUGGCACCACUCGCAUAGAUAUAAUUUUGCAUGAAGAACACCCCCUGGAGUUGUGCGGUGCACAAUCUGCCCAACAGUCCACAGAGGCUCUAUUGGCAAUUCCAUUGGUAGGAAGUUUGUGCCUAUUGACAAGGUUGGAAGAGGAAGGGUGCUGUUCUUUUCCUAAUAAAGUCAGACCUCAGAUUGGAAGGCACUGACAAAAAUUCAACUUAUCUACACUCUCCCAAUCUUCCUUUUUCCAGAAGUUUUCUGUCAUUGUAUUCUACUUUCCUUAAGUUCCUAGCAAUUCUUGGAAAUGCAAGUCUAUAAGCAGCUCUGAAUUUAUUUUUUGAGCUUCACUGAAGGGUAUGAAUGACAUAAAAGGACAUUUAGGAAGAGCUGGGAAAGCUGGUAGAUGCACGGCAUGAGCUCGGGGAAGCAUUACAAGCGAUAAGUCCAUGUGCACAUCACCCCAGACAAGAUGGGCUGCCUCAGAAGUCAUGUGCCUUAUAUUUGGAUGUGUUAGGCUUGCCAAAGAGAACAUUCUUGCAGGACACUAGGAAGUGAAAACUCUAUUCUGGUCACUUGUUGACACAACUCUGGAAGCAUUAUAAAAUGAGAAAAUAGCUCUGGCAUUGUCAGCGCAGUGCAAGCAGCAAACAUGCAUCUGGAAGUGAAGAGGGAGCAGCGCAGUGGACCAGGAGUGACCUUCCAAGGCUCUGACUCUGACGAGCUCUGCGUUUCUGGGCAAGAUGGUCCCUGCAGGUCUUUGAGCCACGAAAGGAGAUUGACGUGAAAUUGUCAGAUGCCUCCAACCAUCAGUUAGGGGAGGUAAAUGAGUGACCUAGGCAGUGUUGGCAACAGGGAGGUCCAGGGUGAGUCACUGAACAGCAGAGCACAGAAGCAUCCAUAUUGAAAUUCAGAACAAAAAGCAGAUUUAUUCUCAGUUUAUCCCUGGAUCACCACUUGGACCUCUGCUCUCAGCUCUAGAUCCCCGAGUUCUAGGUCUGCAUGAAAAUGAGUUAGGGAGACCAAACAUCUUGGCUUGUACAGGACAGUCCUGCUUUAUUCCUGUUGUCCUGGCAUAAUUAUUAAUGGCACCCUCCUUCACUCUCCAAGAUGUCCCAGGCUACAUGAUAAAUUAUAUUAUCACCCAAGGUAAAGGGGAAUCAUCAAUGACUAAACACAAAUAUUUCCCAAAUCUGCCCUUCAGAUGGAGUUAAAUAGGUUUGGUGUUUUAUAGGUAGAAAUUAAUCUAAAUAAGCUUCCAAAAUUUCCCAACAGAUACGGUUCAAUAAAAACAGUAUGUCAUGAAUUUAAGAAGCACAGAAAAAUAUCCGAGAGUCCGUCAAUUUGUGAAUAAUGUUCAUCUUCACUAACAAUCAAGGAAACACAAUUUCAAUAAUAAUGAGAUAAUGUUUUACCCAUAAAACUGAUUAAAAAUUAUUUAAAACUAUAAUACUCAGUGUCAUGAUGGGAGUGAUCAAAGGAACACUCACAUACUGCUGGUGGGUUUAUACAUUGGUUGAUGCAAGCUUUUUGGAAUACGAUGUGAUAACAUGUUUUAUCACAUGUGUUGAUUCACGUGUGUCUCUGUAAAGUUUGUAUCCCAUGACCUGUUACUAAUUCAACAAAUGUAUUGAGCCCCUACUACAUGCCAGGCACCACAAGACAUUGUGGUGAAAGAGACAAACACUAUUUGCUCCAAAUGGAACUUCAGUCCAGUGAAGAAACAGACAUUUCAGGGGGAAAUACAGGGUGGGGCAAAAGAAGGCUUACAGUUGUUCACACGGAAAAUAAUACAAUAGUUAAUAGAUAAUAAUAUAAGAAUAAAUGGUGUGUUUUGCGUACUCACAGCUGUAAACCCACUUUUGCCCCACCCUGCAAAGAACAAUUUAGAUGACAAUUUGUAGGAGGUACCCAGACAGUAGACUCAGGAUGCUGAGAGCAUGUAGGUAGUGUUGUGUUGGGGGAGGCAUCCGGAAGAGAAUUGAUCUGCUGAGGAGGGGAGGAAGGGUGUUACGGGCAGAGGGAACAUCUUGCACAAAGGUUUUGAGAAGGGAAGAAGUUGAAUAGCUGAAAGCGCACCACUAGUUUGGAGCAAGAGAGUAAGAGCCAAGGUGGCAAGAGGCGGGUUGCCACGAAGAUAUUUCUCCUAACAGCCAUUUAUGGGUUGUAAAAGCAGGUUGACAUUUUUAGAAACGUUCUCCGUGGUGGAAACUUGCAAAGGGGACAGAAAAACAGAGCAGGACAGGAAUGGAAACUGAGAGACCAAUGAGGAAGCAAAUAUAGUAAGUAGCCCAGGAAUGAGAUGAAUGUGGCUUAGGAGAGGCUGGGGAGAUGGAGAGAGAUAGAAACAUUAAAGGUAUAUUUAAGUGGUAGAAUCAACAGGCCCUGGUGACUGAAUAGGUGGGGGUGGUGAGGGAGAGAGAGACAUUACUGAUGGUUUCCCGGUUGUAUCAUAAGCAACCUAGUUGAAGGUGGUGCCUCUUUACUGAACUGGGCAAAAAGGAGGGGUGGGGUUUGGUAGGGGAGCAGAAGGAGGGAAGAUAUGGGAACCUUUUGGGAUAUUUUCUAUUUGAGAUGCUGUGACACAUACAAGUGGAGAUGACAAGUAUUUGGAUGUGUAGGUCUGGAGCUUAUGAAGAGAGAUAUGGGGGCUGGAGAGGUAAAUAUGGGCAUCAGAGUACAUAGAUGGCAUUUGAAAUCUUGGAUAUAAUAGGCUCAUCUGGAGACAAGUGUAAAGAGUAAGAAGGACAGGCCAAGUUUCUAGAUCUGAGGAAUUCCGUCAUUUAAAGAUCUUGGAGAAGAAGAAUGAGUUUGUAAGAAAGACAAGGAACAGAAUGGGGGAGAGGAUACUUAAGUCUUUUUAAAAAGCCUAGCCCAAGGACACAGAAAGGAAGAUGGAGAUUUAUGCAUAAAGAUGCUCACUGUGGCAUUUACAAUAGUGAAAAAUUAGCUUCAACCUAAAUGUCAAAAAAUGGGAAGAUGUUGAAAUAAAUUGUCUCAUAUUCAUUCUGUGAAAUAAAUGCAGUCAAAUGAGAUGUUUUUGAAAAUUAUAACAUUAAAUGAAUAAAGGAGGGUAUACAAUUAUACAUAUAAUGUGAUCCACAAUUUAAAAAUUAAAUGGCUAUGCCUAGAAAAAGAUGUAGCUAAAUGUUAACAGUGCUUAACUACAGGUGGUAUUUCAGGUGAUUUUUUUUUACCUUUGUAUCUAGUUGUGUUUUUUAAUUUCUUUAUAAUAAUCACAAAAUAGGAGGUAAUAUAUUUAUGCAACAGGGAAUAAAUUACAUAUAUUUAUUUAACUUAAAAUGAAUGAUUCUGAAUUUGCUGAAGACUUCCAUCAAAAAUAAUUGUUGGGAUGAGUGAGAAUUUAUUUAUAUAAAUUAUUUGAGGUAGUCUUUCAUAAAACAAAUAAUUUUAUGGCUCCAUAAAUCACUUACUAAUUUAAGUUUUUGAAUAUCAGAUUUUUUAAAAAAUAUAGAUUGAGCCCACACACUUCUGAAAUAAAGUUUGGGGUUAUAAUGAACUAAGCCAGGGGUUCGCAAACUUUUUCUGUAAAGGGCUAAAUAAAAAAUAUUUUCAGAUUUGUGGGUCAUACAGUCUCUAGCAUAAUGGUUUUUUGUUUUGUUUUUUUUUUUAAUUUUAAGCAAAAGUUUAUAAAUGUAAAAACUCUUAACUCUCAAGCCACCCCAAAACGGGUUGCCAUCUGGAUUUGGCCUGCAGGCCUGUUUGCUGACCACUGGGCUGGAUGCAUAAGAACAACACAGCUGCUUUCUCAUUACAGCCUCACAUAGCAUUGGGGUUGUAGGAAGGCGAAUCUUCAAUUACUAAAGUCCUAGAACCAGAUCUGGACCUGUUUGCAACAGGAAGCAGAAUAAGUGGAAAAGUUCUAAACAACAAACUUUUUUAAAAAGUCUUAUUUUUUUAAAUGGAAAUUGAUUUUAUGCAAAUAUGUCAAGUUGA